AAUAAUUUGUAUCAUUUGAUGGCGAAUAUCUACUGGCACCUUGUGGCAUAGUUCUACUAUUUUUAAGAUGUUGUUUGAAGUGAUUGAUCCCACCACCAGUAAAUGCCUUUCCAUAAUACAAGCAUGCCAACAUCAUCCUUUUGGUAUUACCACUAAGUUCUGGAGCUUCUCUACAACGAUUCCAUGCAGGAUCACUUUUACCCUUAACUCCAGAAGAUGAAGUAUUAUUUGUAUCACCC
rnacentral:lncRNA from 1 species